CCUACGGGAGGCAGCAGUGAGGAAUAUUGGUCAAUGGGCGCAAGCCUGAACCAGCCAAGUCGCGUGAGGGAUGACGGUCCUAUGGAUUGUAAACCUCUUUUGUCGGGGAGCAAGGCCCGCCACGUGUGGCGGGAAGGAGAGUACCCGCAGAAAAAGCAUCGGCUAACUCCGUGCCAGCAGCCGCGGUAAUACGGAGGAUGCGAGCGUUAUCCGGAUUUAUUGGGUUUAAAGGGUGCGUAGGCGGAAGGUUAAGUCAGCGGUCAAAUGUCGGUGCUCAACACCGGCCUGCCGUUGAAACUGGUCGUCUUGAGUGAGCGAGAAGUAGGCGGAAUGCGUGGUGUAGCGGUGAAAUGCAUAGAUAUCACGCAGAACUCCGAUUGCGAAGGCAGCAUACCGGCGCGCAACUGACGCUGAGGCACGAAAGCGUGGGGAUCGAACAGGAUUAGAUACCCGAGUAGUC
rnacentral:rRNA from 1 species